CCAACAGUUGUAACAAAUAAAAAUGUCUCCAGACAUUGCUGAAUGUCCCGAGGCAGCAAAAUUUCCCCUGGUUGAGUACAGCUGAUAGAAAUAAUGCCCAAAUUUCAAUAUUUUUUCCAAAGUGGUCUUCAUAUUCAAUUCCCAAACGUGUUCUUAACAUUGUUCUUUCUGAAAAGAGUACUUUCCCCAUUUUCUCUACCUGGAGAGAACUCCAGGAAGCUGAGACCGGCCAGACCACAGAGCUUGACCCACGUUCCAAGACUGAUGAAUACCACGAGCAGAACAGUUAGGAUGGCCUCUUGUUUGGUUCAUCCUUGUGACAACACAAUUGGCCCUCUUAGGCAUCAAUUUUGGUGUCAUCAGAUUUGUGCAGUUUCCGGGACAGCCGACCUGGCCAUGCUUCCUCCCGCAGUGUGAACCGUCUCCUUUUGUUGCUGCUUUGAGGUCUGGUUAGGUGGUUAUUAUGUGCUUGCCGAAUCCACUGCAUCUUCGCCUCAACCCACUCUCCAACCCUCCUAUCCCCACUUAGAUUUCAAGUUCCUUGGGGAGGUAUAUCUUUUUUUGUUUUUGUUUUUGUUUUUAUUUUUUUUGAGACGGAGUCUCCCUCUGGAGUGAGUGCAGUGGCACCAUCUUGGCUCACAGCAAGCUGCGCCUCCGGGGUUCACGCCAUUCUCCUGCCUCAGCCUCCUGAGUAGCUGGGACUACAGGCGCCCGCCACCACGCCUGGCUAAUUUUUUUGUAGAGAUGGAGUUUCACCGUGUUAGCCACCAUGGUCUCGAUCUGCCAGGAGUUCCAGCAAUGCGAGAUUUCUGUGAAGGAUUUAAACAAGAGAAAAAAAAAGGAGAAGUAAGCAGCCUGCAAAGAAAUGUUUAGAAAAUUCCAAGUGGGUGAAGCUUGCAGGAUUUGAUGAGAUGAAUUGGUGAAUAGCUUUGUGACAGACCUUCGUUCAAGAUCCAUUCAAGGAUAGAAGACAAUUGCAUUGAAUGGUUGAAUAGGGAGAUUUCUCAGGAGAAUGUUGCUGGGUGCGGUUGAAUAUUUACUCUCCCACAUCCUUGCCUGGCAGGAGGGCCUGUAAGGAGGCUAUUCUAUGAGCUUGUAUCAUCUCCCUGGAUUCUAGGAGUAAAUUAAGAAGCAAAUGUUGGACCUCUGCCUGUGAAAACCACAGGUCCAAGACACUGAGAGGAACCAGGAACCACGAAAUAAAAACAUCAGUAGGAGGGGAAGGAGGAAGGAAGGAGAAGAAAGAGGAAGAAUAGGAGGAGAAGAGGAAGAGAGGAAGAAGUCGUGAACAGCCCUCCUGCAUUUUGCAUCAGGCAGAAAAGUCAGUUGAAUGUUGGGAAGAACACAAAUAACGGAGUCUUGCUUUGUCGCCCGGGCUGGAGUGCAGUGGCACGAUCUCCGCUCACUGCAAGCUCCGCCUCCCAGGUUCACGCCAUUCUCCUGCCUCAGUCUCCUGAGUAGCUGAGACUACAGGCGCCCACCAUCAUGCCCGGCUAAUUUUUUGUAUGUUUAAUAGAGAUGGGGUUUCACCGUGUUAGCCAGGAUAGUCUCGAUCUCCUGUCCUUGUGAUGCACCCACCUCGGCCUCCCCAAGUUCUGGGAUUACAGGCAUGAGCCACUGCGCCCAGCCGGUAAUUCAUUUUUCAUAAUUGUUGCUUCGAGAUUCUAACCCCAGUUCCCAUUACCC